GCCGGAGUGGUGAAACUGGUAGACGCAGGGGACUCAAAAUCCCCCGAAGCUCUGCUUCGUGCGGGUUCGAAUCCCGCCUCCGGCA
rnacentral:tRNA from 2 species